AGUGAACGCUGGCGGUAGGCCUAACACAUGCAAGUCGAACGGCAGCACAGUAAGAGCUUGCUCUUACGGGUGGCGAGUGGCGGACGGGUGAGGAAUACAUCGGAAUCUACUUUUUCGUGGGGGAUAACGUAGGGAAACUUACGCUAAUACCGCAUACGACCUACGGGUGAAAGCAGGGGAUAUUCGGACCUUGCGCGAUUGAAUGAGCCGAUGUCGGAGUAGCUAGUUGGCGGGGUAAAUGCCCACCAAGGCGACGAUCCGUAGCUGGUCUGAGAGGAUGAUCAGCCACACUGGAACUGAGACACGGUCCAGACGCCUACGGGAGGCAGCAGUGGGGAAUAUUGGACAAUGGGCGAAAGCCUGAUCCAGCCAUACCGCGUGGGUGAAGAAGGCCUUCGGGUUGUAAAGCCCUUUUGUUGGGAAAGAAAAGCAGCAGGUUAAUACCCCGCUGUUCUGACGGUACCCAAAGAAUAAGCACCGGCUAACUUCGUG
rnacentral:rRNA from 1 species